ACUAGCUAACUGAAAUCACUUUAGAAGUGAUAAUGUAAGGGAAAAUAAUGAUAUUACCUUACUAUAAGUGUUGUCCAAAACUGGUGCCAGAAGACUCGGUAAGGCCAGAAACGCGAACGUUAGUCAUCUUAAACAGGCGUAAAGGGUUUGUAGGCAGCUUUGAAAUCCUGAUUUUUGAAAAAUAGCCCUUCUACCCUUUCCUUUCCUUCCCAUCUCUUUCCAUUCCAUCCCUUUCCAUUCCUACCCUUUCCAUUCCUUCCCUAAACCCUGCCUUUGGUGGGCGGGAUGGAUAGGGCAGGGCUGGAUAGGAUAGGGCAGGGCAGGCAAGGCAAAGGGGGGAGGGAUAAGAAGAGGGAGAUUAGAAGAUAGAAUCAAAUAUAGGAAAAUUCGAAUAAAUUCUAGAAGAGGGUUNAUAUCCGAAGAUACUAGAAUGAAUGCUUAAGGCGAAGGCCUUUUUCCAUAAAUGAUUGACGCUCAGAAACGAAGGAUAGGAUAGGAAACAGAAUUAGAUACCCUGGUACCCCUUUCAGUCAGCGAUGAGUGGUAGUCACAAUUAAAGUAUUGGUGUCAAUGUUAACACGUUAACCAUUCCGCCUUGUGAGUACGAUUGCAAAGUUGAAA
rnacentral:rRNA from 1 species